CUGGGUUGGCGGUGGUCGCGUGCAUGAGAUUUUGCCCAAUCCGCGCCCCGCAUCCCGCACCAGCCACCACCCAAACCCUAGCCCCGUUUCCCCUCGAUCCCCAUAGCCUCGCCCGCCUCCAUCCCUCCUCCUCACCUCGCCACGGCCUCCGCCCCGGAGCCUCGCCGCCGCCUGCGAUUCCUCCCUCCUGCCCGCAGAGCCCAUUGGGCUCGCCAACCCUAGCCCCAAUCCACAUCCCCCGCGCCCCUCACUGGUCCCUCCUCCUCCUUCCCUCGUCCGCCGCCUCGCUCCCUCGCUCUCCUCCCUCGUCGCCGUGGCCUUCGGCCUAGGAGCCCCGCCGCCUACUGCUCCUCCUCCACCACCUCGCCUCUUUCUCCUCCUCGCCUUCCCAUCGCUCACGCGCAGGUCACCGCUGUCGGAGAACACGGGAGUGCGGGUCUUCAAGUUGGGGUGGUCAGGAGGGCUUCCCGACCUGACGGCGCCUCCUCCUCCUCGCAGCGUCGUCGCGCGUGCACCUUCUUCUCCUCCCUCCUCCCUCCCUCGUCACUACUUCCACCAGUCCCCUCCCUCCCUCGUCCGUGGCCGCUGCUGACCCCUCCUCCAGCCUCCGCGUCUCCGCCCAGGCGGCAAGGCCCCCAGCCCCCCUCGGGCCUCGGCCCCUCCAUACAGCCCGCUUCUGCCUCGUCCAACUCGCUGCUUAGCUCCCAAGGCUCGGAGGGCAGCGGGCGCGGCAGGCUCGGCAGGCAGCGGGCGCGGUGGUCAAGGCCAGGGGCGCGGAUUGGGGAGAUGCGCACACGAGGAGCGACGGCGACCGCGUCUGCCGCCAACACCGAGAUCAGCUCUUCGUUCUUUCAAGCCCUAUGUUGCUUACUCAAAUGUUUGUGGCGAUUGUAUCCUUGUGCCAUGAAUAUUUGUACUUAGCAGAUCAAUAUAAACAUAUUGGCUAUCUAUUUACCAAUUCAGAAUUUAAAGCACUUUAUUUUAUGGCCUUGAGUAAAAGUUCAGUCGUCGUUGGCUGGAAGACAUCUUCAAUACGCCGUCAACACGAGCUUCCCAAGGUAAUGAUCUAAGAGGAAGUGAGUUGGAGAUGAGAUGGGGACAGAAGAUCCUGCAGCGAUGUUGUUUCUUUGUUCUCCUGCUCAAGCUCAGGUGGAUGAGCCACGUCCUGUGUUAUUCCCCUUCGUUUCUGAAGCUCCCAGGAUUUAAUAAUGAGUUGUCUUGGGCUUCAUUGGACAAAUGAUCUACCUCGAGCAAUGAUACAGGUUGGCGUUGAAGCCUGAUGGCGUUUUUCUUGCAGCAAAUCUUGGCAGGAAGACUCUAAAGUGAUAAUCUUAAAUUUGCCAUUUACCGACAUUUUCCAGUUUCUUGUUUGACUUGCCUUUUCUUGGAUGCGAUGAUAAGGGAACUAAGAAUUGUGUGCACUAUUGCUCAAAUGGAACAUAAGGGAGGUAUCAGUCCUCAAAUGUUGCCUCUAGAACAACUCAGGUGGAUGAGCCACGUCCUGUGUUAUUCCCCUUCGUUUCUGAAGCUCCCAGGAUUUAAUAAUGAGUUGUCUUGGGCUUCAUUGGACAAAUGAUCUACCUCGAGCAAUGAUACAGGUUGGCGUUGAAGCCUGAUGGCGUUUUUCUUGCAGCAAAUCUUGGCAGGAAGACUCUAAAGUGAUAAUCUUAAAUUUGCCAUUUACCGACAUUUUCCAGUUUCUUGUUUGACUUGCCUUUUCUUGGAUGCGAUGAUAAGGGAACUAAGAAUUGUGUGCACUAUUGCUCAAAUGGAACAUAAGGGAGGUAUCAGUCCUCAAAUGUUGCCUCUAGAACAAAAGUAACGCUCAAAAGCCUGAAUAGAAUUCCUUGGGGAAGGGUAGAUGUUAGCUUCAAGAGAAGUAGACAAUGGAUUUUUGCCCAUAGCACCAUUCAGCUCCAUCCAAUGUUGUUAUCACUCUCCCUGAUGACGAUGAAGACGAGGAACCGCUGAAGCAUAGAAGGAGUAGGAAAACAUCUGCCAACAGGGUGCCCCAGAAUGUGACGGCGCCUGAGACUCUGGUUGCGGAGGAGGAGAACACCACUCGACACACUGUGUCCUUCGCAGAUCCACUGACGAGUGCUCAGCAGCCCUCCCUCUUCACGACGCACCACGUUCCAGAGGACCAAGCUGGCGCCGCGAAGGAGGCGAUACGCCAGGUAGGGAUCAUGAUGGAGCAGUUAAGGACCAUCCGGGAUGCGAGCCAGGCAGCUUACGACGCCAGUUCCGCCCUUCAAAGCAAUGUUCAGGUCAGUCGACCAUCGUCUGUUCUGUUAGGAUAUGCUAUCAAAAACUUUUCUUUCCAACAUAUACGGUAGUCACCCAUUGGAUGUGUCGAUUUAGACUCCGUGUUAGCGGGGGCACACUGAGUGCACCCGCUGGGUGUAGUCCCUAAGGCUAAGGUCGACUGCUGGCAGUCGGCCUUAGGCUUUAUAAUUUCAGUCUUUCCGUCAUUCGACUAUGGCGAAUGGAUUUCGAAAGCCGGUCGACUGGUC